GCAAGUUCCUUUCCCAGAAGGUGGUGGUGAUUGGUCGGCCUACGACAUCCUGGAGGGGGAACAAGAAUAUCCAUGUCUGGGCAUCUGAGGGGCUACGGUAGCUGUGUGUCAACUGGGAAAGCGCCAACACCAUUCAAGCCUGCACUGCACCCUCCAUGUACCCGCUCCACUGCGUGGCGGUCUCUGUACCAGCAAAAUAGAUCCUGUCAACCGGCUGGCGAAUGAUCCUGUAAAGUGAAAUGGAGCGAUCAAAGAAAGAUAAGGAAAACAAGGCACAGAGAAGUGAUUUGCCCAAG